rnacentral:rRNA from 1 species
GAUGAACGCUGGCGGCGUGCCUAAUACAUGCAAGUCGAGCGAACAGAUGAGGAGCUUGCUCCUCUGACGUUAGCGGCGGACGGGUGAGUAACACGUGGAUAACCUACCUAUAAGACUGGGAUAACUUCGGGAAACCGGAGCUAAUACCGGAUAAUAUAUUGAACCGCAUGGUUCAAUAGUGAAAGACGGUUUUGCUGUCACUUAUAGAUGGAUCCGCGCCGCAUUAGCUAGUUGGUAAGGUAACGGCUUACCAAGGCAACGAUGCGUAGCCGACCUGAGAGGGUGAUCGGCCACACUGGAACUGAGACACGGUCCAGACUCCUACGGGAGGCAGCAGUAGGGAAUCUUCCGCAAUGGGCGAAAGCCUGACGGAGCAACGCCGCGCGAGUGAUGAAGGUCUUCGGAUCGUAAAGCUCUGUUAUUAGGGAAGAACAAAUGUGUAAGUAACUAUGCACGUCUUGACGGUACCUAAUCAGAAAGCCACGGCUAACUACGUG